AUGAUCUCCGAGAAAUACUGCGCCGCUCCGAAGUCGAAACCUGAUCCCAGCGACAUUUUCACUCCACCCUUAGUUGUUUUUAUUUUCUGAGAAAUGACGUUGUGACGCUUCUGGUCCAUGCCCAUAAUGUCUUCGAUGCGAUGGUAAGGUGACGGAUUCGGUGAGAGUGAAUCACGGUGCUUCAUGUCGAGACGCAUAGCCGUUUCUUCCUUGGAAUGUGCGGAGGCUAUUAGGAGCAUCGUGAUGAGACACAAGAGCAUUGUUGUCGUUGUCUUCAUUUUUUUCGUCCUCUUGUUCUGUUUUUUUUUUUUGCUCCUUUUAGGGUUGUCCGUUUCUAAAACAGAGUAUUUAUAUUGACCAACACGCCUUUCUCUCUCUAUUCUUUUUUUUAAUCAUAAAUCUAAAAAACCUUGAUUGAGUUAUAGUUUUUAGAUUUGUUUUAGUUUCUGAAAUUACCAUAUUUAUCAAGAUUUUGAAAAUGUGGUUUUCCUGAAAAAAAGGGAGACUCAUUUUUGUAGCUACAAUAAAAACAAAAAACACACCAUGUUAUUUGGGUUUCUUAUUAAAAAGCCUAUUUUUUCCAACGAGAGUUUAUUUGUUAUUUAUGAUUAUUAUUUUAUAACAUAUUUUUGUUAUUAUCCAAAAUUCAAAAACUAUUUUAAAGGCUUUAAACAUCUUCCGUAAAUUAAAAAGAAAACAUUUGAGGCUAGCAUGUCAAAAGUCAAAACCAUGUUUUCUAUGUAUUUUAGUUUUAAGUCCUAUAAUUACUUUUAAAGCUAUUAAUUCAGAAAUACAGUGUUCGUUUAGAUUACUUAAUUUAUGAAUUAAUGACAAACUGAUCAAUUCUUAGCAAAUCUAACAUUUUUUGAGAAAUUAAAGUAGGAAUGCAAAACAAAUAACUCUCAUCGGUGACCAUUAAAAUAAGAAUAAAAAUGAAUAAGAAAAGAAUGAAGAAUAACAAAAUAAAAUGAAUGAAAAUAAAUAUUUAAUCCCUUUGUUCCAUAUCAAUUUUGAUAAUAAAUGUUUUUCUUAUAUAGUUCCUUAAAAUUUAAAGAAUGAAAAUGAAUCAAAUGCAGCAAAAACUUUCUUAUAAAUGGUGUAAUUUUUAAGAAAUGAAUAGGAAUCGAGUAUUCUCCUUCAUUCUCUACGUCACACCAUUUGGACUCAAAGACAAACGUGAAAGAGGGUAAAGAGAGAGAGUGUGCGCUUGUGUUAUGACAUUGUAACACAAGUGUAAGAAAGAGAGAGAGAGUGAGUGAGAACAAAGACAGAGACUGAACAAAAGAGUCUUGAGUGAACAAGAGCAAGAGAGAGGCCGGCCGUAAGUGAGUCGAGUGGAAAGGUCAAGCCAAGAAGAGCUUUUUAUUUAUAAAUUGAUCUUUCAAUUUUUAUAUAGUUUUGUUUGUAUCAAAACUAAUUCAGUAUUUGUGUUUUAUGCUUUAAUAAAUUAUUAAUAUUUUCAUAAUACAAUUAUAAAUUUCUAAAAAUAAUUUUAUAUUCUUGUAAAGACUAAAUUUAUGUAUAAUAUAAUAAAGAUAGUUAAAAUACAAUUAUUUUGGAUAAAAUUUGUAAAAUUAUAAAAUAACAAACAUUAUUAGAACUUUUUUUUGUGCAACACAUUAUUAGAGCUAAUAAUAAGUAUUAAUAAUAAAAUAUAUUUACAAUAUUCUUUUUCAAAAGGAAAAAUGAGUGAAACUCCAAUUCAUUUAGAAAGAACUGUUGACAUGAAGAAUUAAACAAAGGGAAGUAGUGGAGGAAGUAGGAGAAGUGGCCAUAUCACUUACCAAAUGGGGAGGAGUGGCUAGUCCACUACUAGUUAGUGGAGGAAGUGGGAGGAGUGACCAUAUCACUUACCAAAUGGGGAGGAGUGGCUAGUCCACUACUAGUUAUUUAUUCUUCCACCAUUGAGUGCUUAUUGCUUUUGUUUCCUUUAAAUACACCAUGUAUGUUACACAAUUAAACACACAAUUCAAUACAAACAUUUCUUUCAUUCUCUCAAUCUCACAAAUCCUCUCAUUCUCUUAAAUUCUCAAAUUUCUCUUCUCUCUCAAAUACUUACGGUUACUUCACUCCUUUUUUACUUUGUUCGUGUGCUUCAUCACGGUUAAAACACUUAGAAGCUCUCAUAAUCCCACAAAUUAUCAUGGUAUCAGAGCAGCAACAAUCUUGAAACCUUUCUAAAUUCCGCAAAAUCAAAACUCUGUUUCUAGUUCUUAAACUCUACCUCUGACCAAGUAAAUCCCCAAGAUGGAGAACAACAACAACAAUAACAACAACCGCAUCAGCAUACCUGUGACCCUGAAGGGGAUUAACUACCUCUUGUGGGCCAGGAUGGUGAAGAUUGCCCUUGGAGGAAAGGGUUUGUGGAGUCAUGUCUCAGCAGAAGCAGCUCCAAAACAAACCACCCAAGGAGAAGAUGGACAGGAGAUUGUGGUAGCUACUGAUGAAGACAAAUGGGCUCAGGAAGAUCUCAUGGUUCUCACAGUGCUCCUUAGCUCCCUAGAACCCGCCAUCAUGGAGUCUUACUCCUACUGUGAAACUACCAAGCAGCUGUGGGAUACACUCUACAAAGUGUAUGGAAAUACCUCCAACCUUACAAGGGUCUUUGAAGUAAAAAGAGCUAUCAAUACCCUCAACCAAGGAGAUAUGGAGAAGGGACAGUGUGAUGAGCAAUGGUGGUUCAGCUAAAGUGAGAGGAAGCUUGGAGCGCAAGAAAUCAAAGAGUUUUAAAGAAGGAGAAAGCUAUCCUUCUUGGCUCAUAACCGAGGCUCCUGGGAGUAUAGCCGCCGUGAGGAGGGAGCAAGUGGCUGCACAACAAGCCCUAAGGAAACUGAAGAUUGCUCAUUACGGCAGAUCUAAAUCAACGCUAACUAAUUUUACCUCCUCCAAAGUUGUCCCUCUUGUUCACCCUAGCCCUCAUCCUCAUCCUCAGAGGUGCAGCUUCAUCACCCCUACUUCUGGUAUAUUAGCCUUUCCAUUUUUCUUUUACUUGGUGUAUUAGUCUCUCUUCAAAAUUCUGAUUUUUUUUAAUGUCAUUUUCUCAGAUCCUAUUUACGUUGCCUACCAUGAUGAAGAAUGGGGAGUCCCUGUCCAUGAUGACAAGUGCGUUACAUAAUUUUUUUCUUACAAUUUUAAUACUAUCACUUUUAUUUUUCAUAAUUGCAACAAAAUUUAGUUUAUUGAGUGUAUUAAAAUCUUGGAAAUUAGGAUAGAAUCCUAAAUGAUUUGGUAACCUGCUAAUCUUAAAUCUAUAUCCCCUUAUAUAUUUGGAACUAAAAGUGAUUAGCUUUCUUUUGUUUCUUAGAUUUUAUAUCUUACUAUAACACAUUUUCAUUUUAUCCAAAUAAUAAACUAAUUAUCUCUAUUUCAGGACGUUGUUCGAACUGCUAACCCUAAGUGGCGCGCAAGUAGGCUCCGAUUGGACUUCAACCUUGAGAAAACGCCAUGACUUCAGGAAAGCAUUUAUGGAAUUUGAAGCGGAAGCGGUUGCAAAAAUUAGCGAGAAAGAGAUGAAUGAAAUAAGCACCGAAUACAAGAUAGAGAUGAGCAAAGUGAGAGGCAUUGUGGAGAACGCAACAAAGAUCCUAGAGAUCAAGAAAAACUUCGGGUCACUAGAGAAGUACAUUUGGGGUUUUGUGAACCACAAACCCAUCUCCACGAACUACAAGUUUGGCCACAAGAUUCCGGUCAAGACAUCCAAGUCGGAGAGCAUAAGCAAAGACAUGGUGCGUCGAGGCUUCAGGUACGUGGGCCCCACUGUGGUUCACUCCUUCAUGCAAGCCGCUGGUCUAACCAAUGACCACUUGCUCACUUGUUACCGUCACAUUCCUUGCACUCUCCUCAGUACCAAUCCCUAAAAGAACUCAUUUCUUAUUUAUUUACUUAAUUGAAAGUGUGUUUUUCAACUUUCGGGUGAUUUGUGUACAACAAAUGUAGGUGUAGGAGGAAAUGGAUUGUGUGAUUUUAAUUGGCAUGUAAGAUAAACCAGCUGGUGUAGUUUGUGUUUUUUUUCUUUUCUUUUGUGUGACGUUUUUAUUAUAAUCACAUGUAUAAGGGUUUUUGAUGUAUGUGUGGUGUGACAAAUUGAAUUAGUAAUUGAUUUUCAUUUGAGUUUAACUUAUCUUAUAAUAACUUAAGACUAAUGUGCAUUCUUAGCCAAAGAAAAAGACUAAUGUGCAUGGGAAAAUUCAAUAUCCUCUUGGGUUUUCAAAAUAUCGUCUCUAUCCAAUCUUUUAUCCAAGAUAUUUAUUUUAUUGUUUUAAAAUUUGUAUUGAGAAUUGAAAGAAGAGUACAAUAACAAAAAAAAUGGUGAUUGGUGUUCGUAGAAGCAAAUAGAAUGAUGAUGAAGCAUGUGAUGCUUCUCUGUCACCAAUAAUGAUUGCAUCAUUUUAGUGGAUGCCAUGAUGGGAUUGGUCAUUGCCCAUUGGAUUGGGUCAUUCUCCCCAUCCCUAAUAUAACUUCUUUCCCAGUUCUACCCUUUCAAUUAUUUAUUCAAGUUCCAAGGACAAGGCUCCUCCUUCCUUCACUCUCUGUUUAUAUGAUCAUUGAUAUUAUUUGAAUAUUUACCCUUAUCGUAUGUUUUUAUAGAAGAUGUGGUCUUUAAGUAAGGAUGUGACUUUUGGUAUAAAACAGAGUACUCGACAAGUUUUGUUAAUGUUGAGAGAAUGUAAAAAUGAAAAAGAAAAAUCAAAUAUGCUUUGAGAAGAGAGCACAUGAGACUGCAACAACGAUGCAUCAGAUUCCUACUUUCCUCAACACCGUAACACAGAAGCAGCCCUUCUUUGUCAGAGCGUGUAAACUUAGUAAAGAGUAAAGACCAAGCUAAUGAAGUUAUGGGCCCAACCUGCUCUCUCAACGGCCCACUAAGAGGCUAUUAUUUACAAGGCCCAAUAGUGAUUCUAUGGAAAUGAAUGCUAUCUAACAAGUUUUGAUAGCAUUAUUUACUUGUUCACUAACAAAUUUAAUUUUGUCAAAACACCAAUCUAAAGGCAGGUAGAAGGAGAAAAAGACAAAGUUGAGGCCGCAAUAUCAAACUCCCACAAAUGAUUCUGCUGCAUUAUAUUCCCAAUGACAUUAGUAGCCUCAGCUUUAGCCUCCACAAACCCUAAACACCUGAUUCCUGGCGCAGCAUUUAUCAGGUAGCUUCUACGAUAAGGCGCGAAACGAGUACCGCCCAUGAAGUGAAACGUUAGUUGUGGCAGCUUUCUGUCGUCGAACUUGCUGGUAUAAUAACAAAACUCUAUUGGUAGUCCUUCUGGUUUGAUUCUUUUCACACCAACAAGGUGACGCUGUAGCCCUGUAACCACGGCCUUGUACGCGGCCUCAGCUAAGAACGUGAGGCUGCUUCCUGAGUCCAAAAUGGUCCCACCACCUUUCUUUACACCCCAUACUUGUGGAGGGAUAUUGAGCAUUUCCUCUCCGAUGGAGAUUCCAACGAUGUUGACGGCGUAGAAGGGAGGAAGGAGACUGAGAUCAAGCCUAGCGGUUCGUCUUGCGGGGGCUUUGGUGGUGGUAGACGAGGGGGUAGAGCCGAAGAUGAGAUAGUUGGAGACGUUUUUGUGUGAGGUAUGGUCAACGAGGCAGUAUGAGAAUUUGCCUCCGAAGAUGUUAGUGGCUUUUGCAGUGAAGGAGUAAUCGCUCAAGGCUAGACCAAGGAUACCGUCUGCUUCACGGAAGCUGGCACCACCUUCGGAGGCGCUGCUGCAGCCAAUGAGGAGGCCACGGACACUAGUAACGCUGCCGUUGGUGAGACCAAGAGUGAAGGUCUCCUUAGCAAAUACACCUUGUGCUGAUGAUCCAUCAACAUAUCUGUUACACCAAAUCUAAGUAAGAAUGCAAAAAACAUGGAUAAAUUAUUACUAAAGAGGCAAACCUAACUCCCAAGUCACAAUAAGUAACAUUUAUAUACUGUAAUGAAUAGUAGCACAAGACACAUUUAAUUUUCACAUCUUCUCCUUACAUACACUUGCAUCUAACUCUAUGUCUCCCUCAUGUUUAGGCAUGGGCAUAAAAACCGAGAACCAAAAAUUGAACCGGAAUCGAACCCGAAACCGAACAGAUAUUCAAAAAUAACUGAACGGUUCCUAUAUUUCUAUAACCCAAAAACUGAAACCGGAGUGGAACUGAAUCGAGAACAAUUAUAUAUAGUAUUAAAAUUAGCAAUUUUUUUAAAAGUAUUACUUAUAAACCGAAUUACCCAGAUAUUUUUUAUCCAAAGUAUUUAAAAAUUUCCGAACUACCCUAAAUAACCAAAUUACUCGAAUAGUUUUAUCCAAAAAUUUAAAAUUUAUCCGAAUUACCCGAUUUUUUAAUCUAAAAACCUGAAAAAAAUCUGUAUUUGUACCCUCGAAUAUCUAAAACUAACCGACAAAACGAUACCGAAUUGAAACCAAAAGUUUAUUGGAUAUUAGCCUGUUCUUAUAAUUAUUACCCGAACCGAACCAAAAACCGAAAUAACUGAACUAAAUCCGAACCGAUUUUCAUAGAUAACCGAAUGGUUCAUUGAACCGAAAACAGAAAGAACCGAAUCUGCACCGAACCCAAAACCCAAUGCCAGGCCUGAUUCGCAUUUUGACUAUGGAUCAAUAAUACAAACACAACCACUAAAAGAGAGUUUAUUUAUCCUUGUACCUGUAAUCGUAUGCGCAUGGAGUUCUAGGGGUAGGGCAUAUAGCGAUGGAGAAUAGUUUCGCCAAAUCUUCCGAACAAGUCUUCGUCAUGCAUCCAACCUUUCUGAAACUGGACGAAUUCUCUGCUCUGAAGACAUGACGAUUCUCAAGUUUCUCUGGCCCUUGCCCAUGGAACCUACAAUUCACCCAUGUCAGCUCGCUCCCUGUGUCCACCACCACCCUGAACCUCUUCGCUGGCGUUCCAACCAUGAUCUCCGAGAAAUACUGCGCCGCUCCGAAGUCGAAACCUGAUCCCAGCGACAUUUUCACUCCACCCUUAGUUGUUUUUAUUUUCUGAGAAAUGACGUUGUGACGCUUCUGGUCCAUGCCCAUAAUGUCUUCGAUGCGAUGGUAAGGUGACGGAUUCGGUGAGAGUGAAUCACGGUGCUUCAUGUCGAGACGCAUAGCCGUUUCUUCCUUGGAAUGUGCGGAGGCUAUUAGGAGCAUCGUGAUGAGACACAAGAGCAUUGUUGUCGUUGUCUUCAUUUUUUUCGUCCUCUUGUUC
rnacentral:lncRNA from 1 species